AGUGAACGCUGGCGGCAGGCCUAACACAUGCAAGUCGAGCGGCAGCGGGUUCCCGCGAGGGGAUGCCGGCGAGCGGCGGACGGGUGAGGAACACAUCGGAAUCUGCCUGGUUGUGGGGGAUAACGUAGGGAAACUUACGCUAAUACCGCAUGAGACCCUGAGUCGACGGACUGGGGGUGAAAGUGAGGGACCUUCGGGCCUCACGCGACCAGAUGAGCCGAUGUCGGAUUAGCUAGUUGGCGGGGUAACGGCCCGCCAAGGCGACGAUCCGUAGCUGGUCUGAGAGGAUGAUCAGCCACGACCGGGACUGAGACACGGCCCAGACUCCUACGGGAGGCAGCAGGUGGGAAUCUUGGACAAUGGGCGCAAGCCUGAUCCAGCCAUGCCG
rnacentral:rRNA from 1 species